UGGGGAAUAUUGGACAAUGGGGGGAACUCUGAUCCAGCCAUGCCGCGUGUGUGAAGAAGGCCUUAUGGUUGUAAAGCACUUUAAGCGAGGAGGAGGGUACUGGUAUUAAUACUACCAGGUACUGGACGUUACUCGCAGAAUAAGCACCGGCUAACUCUGUGCCAGCAGCCGCGGUAAUACAGAGGGUGCGAGCGUUAAUCGGAAUUACUGGGCGUAAAGCGCGCGUAGGUGGUUCGUUAAGUUGAAUGUGAAAGCCCCGGGCUCAACCUGGGAACUGCAUCCAAAACUGGCGAGCUAGAGUAGGGCAGAGGGUGGUGGAAUUUCCUGUGUAGCGGUGAAAUGCGUAGAUAUAGGAAGGAACACCAGUGGCGAAGGCGACCACCUGGGCUCAUACUGACACUGAGGUGCGAAAGCGUGGGGAGCAAACAGG
rnacentral:rRNA from 1 species